UACGUAGGGUGCGAGCGUUGUUCGGAAUUACUGGGCGUAAAGGGCGCGUAGGCGGGUUUGCAAGUCGAUUGUGAAAUCCCAGGGCUUAACCCUGGAGCUGCAGUCGAAACUGCAAGUCUUGAAUGUCUGAGAGGGUGGGAGAAUUCCUGGUGUAGUAGUGAAAUACGUAGAUAUCAGGAGGAAUACCGGCGGCGAAGGCGCCUACCUGGCAGUACAUUGACGCUGAGGCGCGAAAGCGUGGGGAGCAAAC
rnacentral:rRNA from 1 species